GGCGUACGGGUGCGGAACACGUGUGCAACCUGCUUUAUCUGGGGGAUAGCCUUUCGAAAGGAAAAGAAUUAAUACCCCAUAAUAUGUUGGAUGGCAUCAUUCGGCAUUGAAAACUCCGGUGGAUAGAGAUGGGCACGCGCAAGAUUAGAUAGUUGGUGAGGUAACGGCUCACCAAGUCUACGAUCUUUAGGGGGCCUGAGAGGGUGAUCCCCCACACUGGUACUGAGACACGGACCAGACUCCUACGGGAGGCAGCAGUGAGGAAUAUUGGACAAUGGGUGAGAGCCUGAUCCAGCCAUCCCGCGUGAAGGACGACUGCCCUAUGGGUUGUAAACUUCUUUUGUAUAGGGAUAAACCUACCCUCGUGAGGGUAGCUGAAGGUACUAUACGAAUAAGCACCGGCUAACUCCGUGCCAGCAGCCGCGGUAAUACGGAGGGUGCAAGCGUUAUCCGGAUUUAUUGGGUUUAAAGGGUCCGUAGGCGGAUCUGUAAGUCAGUGGUGAAAUCUCACAGCUUAACUGUGAAACUGCCAUUGAUACUGCAGGUCUUGAGUGUUGUUGAAGUAGCUGGAAUAAGUAGUGUAGCGGUGAAAUGCAUUAA
rnacentral:rRNA from 1 species